GGCUGGUCCGAUGGUAGUGGGUUAUCAGAACUUAUUAACAUUAGUAUUAUUAAAGUUGGUAUACAACCUCCCACUGCUAAAUUUGACUGGCUUUAA
rnacentral:Y_RNA from 1 species